rnacentral:rRNA from 1 species
AUUGAACGCCGGCGGCAUGCCUUACACAUGCAAGUCGAACGGUAACAGGUCUUCGGAUGCUGACGAGUGGCGAACGGGUGAGUAAUACAUCGGAACGUGCCCGAUCGUGGGGGAUAACGAGGCGAAAGCUUUGCUAAUACCGCAUACGAUCUACGGAUGAAAGCGGGGGAUCUUCGGACCUCGCGCGGACGGAGCGGCCGAUGGCAGAUUAGGUAGUUGGUGGGAUAAAAGCUUACCAAGCCGACGAUCUGUAGCUGGUCUGAGAGGAUGAUCAGCCACACUGGGACUGAGACACGGCCCAGACUCCUACGGGAGGCAGCAGUGGGGAAUUUUGGACAAUGGGCGAAAGCCUGAUCCAGCCAUGCCGCGUGCAGGAUGAAGGCCUUCGGGUUGUAAACUGCUUUUGUACGGAACGAAAAGCCUCUUUCUAAUAAAGAGGGGUCAUGACGGUACCGGAAGAAUAAGCACCGGCUAACUACGUG